UUCCAUCACUUGAUUGUUCUACAGAUUGCGUUUUUCUUUGCAACCCUUGUAAUUCCAUGGGGUUAUAAACUUUAACUUCUAAUAUAUGCUUCUAGGUUGGGAUUUAGUAGAAGAGUCGAGUUUCACGAAGGUGGUCAAAGGUGUGUGGCAAAUAGUGGUGAUGAAUUCUAAUUGCAGUAGCAACUUCUCCAAGAACUUUACGGCUUCCUCAGCAACAUGCCAGCAUGGUUUCUAAACAGAGCUACAUGCCAGCAUGGUUUCUAAACAGAGCUCUUACUGAUGGAGGAGCCUGGGGGGAACAACACAAAAAUAAAUAGCAAUUAAUUUAGGUACAAAGUAAUAAUUAUCAACAAAAUAUAAGAUAUGAAUUCUUUUACCGAUUUUGCCUCCUCUUGGUUAAGACUCCCAUUUUCCAAACUCAUAUUUUCAAUGAGCACAAACACCCGACAGUUUUUCCAAACUUUUGCCAGCAUCCAAUAAAGUACUAUUUAUCAAAAAGAAAAAAAAAAUCAAUUGUACAAAUUUCACUGUGUGGAGGUGUUAUCAAACGAUAAUUGCAAUACUUUCUACAGAAAUAUCUUUGGUAAUGAAAAGGGUAGAUACGUGGUAGCUAUUUGUGAAUUUUGUAUGUGAUUUUUCAGUCAUCUAUAUUGUUUGGUAGUAGCCUAAGUAGGCAUGCAAGGGUUAUUUUAAGGCAUAGUUGUGUUUUGUGGCUACUCUGCUGGUGAUAUUUUUGGCAAAUCUGCAGUAGACACUAAUGAGAACCAAUGGACUCUUAAGUGCAAUACGACUGAAGGAUAACAAUGGUUUUGACAGUGAUUAACAUGGCAAUGCAACUGGUUUAGUGGGUGGUUGUUCUUUUACAUGUAAUUGGGAGCUAGAAAUACUCAAACAACACCGAAAUCAGCCAGUCAGCUAACACUAAUUGCCACUAAAUUAUUGUUUAUCAAUCAAAAAGGAAAUCCCUAAAUUGAUCAUUACUGAAGAAAUCUAUAGUUAAAAACUCUAAAGAAAAAAGGAAACUAACCUUGUAAGAGGUAUUUGGUGUCAUACGCAGGGUCCCAGGUGUAGUAGUUACUAAUGUCAAAAGAAUUGUGGAACCGAAUUUGCAGGUACAUACAUUAUCUUGAUAGCAUAAGGUACUUUUAAUAACUUUUUUGUGACUUAGGCUGGUGUGUUGAAGCCUUUACAAAAACAGAUAUAUGUUGAACCGACUUUGGGAUCUGAUGUAGUAAACACAAUCUGUCAUCAUGUUUUGCUUGCAGUGGAGUUAGAAUCCCUUAGUUUCAGCUUGAAGGUGGCGAGAAUCAAAGUAAUAGUCUGGAAUAAAGAAGUUCUUAUAAAUUAGAAGCUUAACAGAUGCCACAUUAGUUUAUUGUUCCAACAAAACAUAAAUUUCAACUAUACCACAAUAAUGUUUGUAGCAAGUAUAAUUUUUUUUAACUUCAUCAAUGUAAAAAAUUAAAUUAAAUUUACAACCUUAUGGAAAUCUAUAAUACACAGAAUGACAGAUUCUGGUAUAUCAUACAUAUUGGUGGUUAUGAAUGAACCUCGUAGUUAUAUAACUCAAAGAAGCUCAUAUAGGUCAAUAGAGAUUGCAGGUCUUUUGUACUUGAUGGGAUAUCAAAUAGCUAAACACCAUGACAUGGCUGAUGACUGAUAAAUAUCAAUUUUGUUCUCUAAGCAUAAACAAAAAGUGAAAAGACAUGGGCGAUAACAUUAGUUGUACUGAAAUUUUAAUCUGGCUUGUAAAUUUUAUUCAAGCACAUUGCAAAUCCACCACAUAAAUAAAAGAAACAGCUAAAAUGAGAACCUUAUAAACAGGUACAACAUAUGAGAUAAUGAGAAGGCAAUAAGAAGAUAAAUAUAUAGUUGUAAUUUGUGAAUAUCUGUGUUCCUUACCAACAAUAGCAACAUCGCUUGUCCCUGCAUGGUACUUCACCUUGAGAAACUGAAUCACUUCCAACGCUUGGCUCUUUCGUGAAUGUUGGAGUUUACACCAUUAAACUGAAAAAUCUUUUUCUCAGUGUACAAUAUAAACACAUCAUCGUGCUUCAGGGAAGACCGAUCAAAGGGAACCUGCAGAGCCAUACAAAUUUGAUCUACCAGUGGUCUGGGAAUAAGGAAAGUCUCAUUGAUAAUUAAAAAACUUCAUAGUACAUUAGUACCUGCUUCAAUCUAACAACUUGUUUUCCUUUGCAAAGAUAGAGUCAAGUUACAAAUUCUUCAUCCCCGCAUUUCCAAAAUCCCGAAGCAAUAUAUACCACCCUCCAGAGAGUAAUGCAUGGUCUAAAGUAUGACAAAAACCUGUCAGAUUCAUGCCCUUGAAGUUCCGGAUAAUGCACAGGAUUCCCUCCAAGCACUACAUGUCUACAUCAAGCUCAAUUGUCUUGAUGGCCAUCAUCCCAGCUUCAUCCUAAUAAAUUAAAGAGUUUAUGAAGUGUAAAGCUUUCAAUUCAAGUAUCAACUUUUGUUUUAAAAAUUUUUUUAGUAACACACCUGACUGGUAUCUUUUCCAAUAUCAUGACGAGGAAGACGAAAAAUCAUGAGUUUUCCAACAUCAUCAACCCAGAAGUGUAUAGAACCACACUUAACAAGGUUGAAAUCAAAUGUGCUCACCGAGCAAAGAAGGCCCUGCCUUGAAGAGAAGAGAACAAUAAAUUUGCAAAGCAUCUGUAAAACCGAUUGUGCACAAUUGCACAAAGAUAUAUUCUAAACAAAUAGUAUGAUAAUAGUUAAGCAUGUGAAGGUUUAUAAACUGAGAGAAUAUUCUAAUAUCAGAAAAUUAUAACAUAAAAAAGAUAUACCUUAAAAUCAUAUAUCAAUAUGCCGAAAAGUAAUUUUAAUGAAGGAGCUUCUGUGCAGACUGUAGAGCAUGGUUUAAACAAAUAAAACAAUAUAGCAUAGGGUAACAGUUUAUACUUUAUACAUUACCAUUCCCCUUUAUAGAAAAAGAACACUGGGAGUUACAACUUGAAUUCGCCAAAUUAUGUAAAUAAGGGCUCUCAAAUAUACUAAGGAAGUUAAGGUUGGAGUGAUAAUAUAUUUUCUUAUAAAGUUUAUAUAACAAUGUAAAUCAGGUAGUUUUUUCCCCAUGAAAGCCCAUCUUCCAGAUUGGAAGAUAUCAUCAAAUCAAUAAACUAAAUCAGAGGAUGGUGUCUUUAAUGUUCAUAAAAAUCAUAGGUUCUAUAAAUUUGAUUUUUGUAAUAUCAAUAAACUUGAUUGUAUACAUGAAACAACUUCAUUCUACCCCGUUCGUUGUAUUAGAUUCAGCAGUAUAUUUGGUUGAUGAUCUGUAAGACUGUAAUAGCUCACUUGGAUCAUGGUUAAAAUUUAAUAAAAGUUUUGGUGAAAGACCCAAUUAUGGUCUAUUAUAAGUAUUGAGUUGUAUCAUAUAAUAUAGAAGCAUAUAUUGCAACAUAAAACAAACGAGCUGAACAAAACAAAAUUUAACUGAUUCGAACAUGGUUUGUGUAUGAAGAAAUUAUUUAGCAGAAUUGAGUUUCCAUCAACAAACAGAAGUUUAACACAAAUCGUAAAAACUAAAUUCAAUAUACCUUGUUGUGGAAGCAUAAAUUUUGUUCAAAUAUAUUGCUUGAACUUCUCCAAUUUGAUGAGCUCCAAAUCUUCCUGGAAACAGCCAUGCCUCUUGAACCGUUAUAUUACCCAUUACAUCUCCAAAUUUAAAUAACAAUUCAACGUUGGAUUACUAAUCUAGUGUUGUUCAAUGAAUUCAACAUAAAUGAUUUUUUAUAACUUAAGAAACAUUUUAGAUUUACUAAAUUUAAGUGUGCAUAGAAGAUGCUCUUAACAGUGUCAAAGUAAAUAAUUUCAAUAAUAAAUGGAGAUAAGUAGAAAAUAAACAACAAAACAUAUUAGCAUUUAACAUUGAUAAAGCCACAAACACUUUUCUUUAUACGUCCAAUUUUUUUUUUUGGGAGCAGAGGUUCUUAUCGAGGGUUUAUUAUAUAUUUGUUAGUUAUCUGGAAGAAUGGUAGUACAUAUCACCAUAUAAGUUGGUUUAUUAUUCAAUAGGGGCAGAGGAUCUUCUCAAGGGUUUAUUAUAUUUGUUAAUCAUCCGGCAGACUGGCAAUACACAAUAGCAUUAGGCACAAUAUAUGGUGUCCUAAAUCUAAACAUGCUGCUUCAAUAUAAGUGAGUGAAACUGCAAUGUAACUCUUGUGUGGACUGCAAGUCUGGCAGAUGUUGUUAUUAGGUGAAGUAGAAGGUGUUGUGCUUUAGAAUUCAAGAAUACUAUCCACAGUCCUACACCAAUAUGGCUCAAAACUCAAAACUACGGACAUUAUCCACUACUAUUGAUUUAAGUUUAUCAUUGAGUAUAAAGCACUCUAUGGCGUUCAUAGAGGUUGAUUAAUAGUACUUCAGAAAUCAUAAUCGCAGUAGCAUGACAAUAAAAACACUAAUUUUACAAUCAUAAUCAAUAAUUAAAAAGCAUUACAAAAACUUAUUAGAGUUUCCUCGUGGGGGCACCAAGAUUUGGAAAGAAGAGUUUACACAUGGGGUUCAUAAUAGAUAUCAUAAGAACAAUGUAUAAAUCAAGGAGAUGCAAUCGACCUGGCAUUCAAUUGUAAGUACAUAGCCACAUAGGUCAUGAUGCUAACAAGGAAUUAUUGACAACAUGCUUCUAAAGCACAAACCAUUCAAGGAUACCAAAAGACUAAUACGCUGAAAUCCAAAAAAAAUAAUUUUAAAAAAGAAGUUAACAAAGGUAUUUGAUAUAUUGCCAGUUAAUUUGCUUGUGUCCCAGAAUGUAAAGAAUACAUCAACAUUUCUUCACACAUUGAAAAUAACAUAACAGCACAUGAACCUUAUUUUUUGGAUAUUUACAUGAAGCGAAUGCGUAAUUUAACCACAAAACUUAAUGUCAUCUAACCUUGGAAGUGUCAAAGAAUAUUGUAUAAUCUCCUAUUACUUAUCAGACCACCAUAUUCGAAUGUAGACUUCUGAAAUUCUUGUUUGAUAGGACUACACUAAAAGUUGCUGAUUAAUUAGACUUUGCCUUUCUACUAAGGUGUGUUUGAUUCGGGUAGGAUUCUUUCAUGGUAAAUUUGCAUGAGGGAAAAUUCGUGAUUGCACAAUAUAGCAAGAAGAUUCCGUCCCUCUCCCUUAGUUACUUCUCUUCUUCUCUGUAUUGAAAUCGUAACUCAAAUAAAAUUGAAGAAGAUUGGAGAGAUUAAUAAGUGAGACUCAUAAGCAAGAAAAAACGUAUAUCCUUUGAGACCAUUAUAGAUACAAUUGACAUAAAUCCUGAUACAAUAGAGAACUACCUAAAAAACAUGAGUUACAGAGAUACCAGUAGCUCUGGCUUGAGAACUACUUGAAAACAUGAUUAUUGUUAUAAUGCAUUAACCUGUUACAAAAUUCCUAUGAUUUAGGUCCAAACAGUGUUAUCUUACCAGCAUAAGCGAUGGCAGCUGCAGUGGGAUCAUUGAUAAUCGGUAUCACAUUACCAGCAUCCUUGGUGGCCUGUUGAUGAGAAUCAUGUAAAAGGAGGGGUCAGUAGCUAAUAAGCACAUUCAUCACACCCUGAACAAAAGAUCUAAAUUAGAGGAUCAUAGAAAAACUGUCAUCUAAAAGAACUAAAAAGAAAAAGCAAAUAUAGUUCAGAAAAAAUUACCUCUCUUCUUUGUGAUUUAGUCUAAAAAGGGAAUAAGAGAUUGAAGAAGGGUUUUGCAAUAACGGUUCUAUAUAUCAUAAUAUAUAAAAAAAUAUUAUGAUUACUAUUAUGAGAAAAAUAGCAAUUGCUAGUAGAACAGAAUCUCCAUCAAUUCAUCACAUAAUUUUCCUUGUAAUAUUAAUCAAAACUUAUUUGCAAAAAAAAAAAAAGAGUCCUGAGGAUUGGAAAACUGAAUUAAAAGUUUAAAGUUUUAAUUAAAAAAACAAAGAUUUGAAACUUUACUUCAGUACUAAUUAAAAAUUGCAAAGGAUUUGGUAGGAGAAAUAAUUACCUUAAUUCGAAGGCGGAGAGAGCACCAAUCAUGCAGUGAGUAGCUUGAUUGAAAAACUUUCCCAUCAGAGAACGAAACCAUAGAACACGAAUCAAAGGAUUUGUUAGCUUGUUUAUAGAUUAGUGAGCAACAUGGAUAAUAAUCCUAGAUGAGUUUUCCCAAUAAUACUAUGGAGAAAUGAGGAGUCAGAGACGGAGAACAACUGUAGAAGACGCGGUGGUGAAGUAGAAGAAUGGUAGAAGUGUAGUACACCUAUUAAUUGGGCUUUCAGUUGGGCUUCAAUUGGGCUUUCUCUAAAUUCUGAAAUCUCUCUAUUAAUGUCAAGUUGGGCUUAAAAUGGGCUUAAAGUUGGGCUUAAAUUCUAUUCUUAAGUUGCUGAGAACACGCCACGUGGCACUUGUUAAGCUCCACUAUUAUAUAGUACUAGUUGUUGAACCCGUGCUACACACCGAGAUUUGUGUUAUCUUAUAAAUGUAUCGGAUUGGUAGUAUAUUGGCAUAAUUUUGAUGAUUUGUGUUAGAUGAUUCGUGUUAUCUUAUAAAUGUAUCGGAUUGGUAGUAUAUUGGCAUAAUUUUGAUGAGGCGGAAUUGCUUCUGCCAUGGUGUUGUUGGUUUAGAGUCCUCAUGUCUUAUUAUCUACCGUAAAACAGAAAUUUGCUGAGUCAUAUAUUUUUUACUAUUCUAUGGCAUAUCGUCGUGGGAUUAUUAUUAUUAUUAUUAUUAUUAUUGUUUUUAUGUUUUAAAUCCCAAAGUAAAGAAAAUAAAAUAUAAGACCAUAAUGUAUAUUCUAUACAAACACACCAAGAUGCAUAUUUUCAGUGAAACACACUUUCCCUAACAUUAUACAAAAAUUUUAAGUUGCUCAUAUGCACAAUGGUCAUAAACAGUGGAUAGAAUUUAUUUAUUUUUUCUUUUUUUGAUAAUGUUAGCGAGAACAUAUAAAUUGCAUUCACUAUGAAAAGAUUCACUAUGUAAUUCUUAGUUCAACUAUCAUUUCUUCUCGUUUCAUUUAUUUUCUCAUUCUAAUCAACUUUAACUGCAACAACAAAUGUUUCGUAAACAGUAGCCAAUGAUAUCUAGCUGCUUUGCACCCUGCGAACGAUCAGAAAUAGUUAUCUGAUUAUUUUUGGAAUCCGCCUUCUCAGAAGUAAUAACAAUUUUGAUUUCAGUAUCUUCAUGGAAGUCUUCAUAAUGUGUUGCUCUUCCUAAUUCCUCUACUUCUUCAAUCAGGAGGUUAAGACUUUUUGUUGUCUCUACUAACAGUGAAGCAAAAGCAGCAAAAGGGAGAGCCUCAAAGAAUUGUAAACACGUGAUAGCGGUCUUACUCUUUAUUGGAUUGAUCAUCUUACUUUGCAACCCUUGUAAUUCCGUUUUUCUUUGCAACCCUUGUAAUUCCAUGGGGUUAUAAACUUCAACUUCUAAUAUAUGCUUCUAGGUUGGCAUUUAAUAGAAGAGUCGAGUUUCUGCAAUGCUUCACGAAGGUGGUCAAAGGUGUGUGGCAAACAGUGGUGAUGAGUUCUAAUUGCAGUAGCAACUUCUCCAAGAACUUUACGGCUU
rnacentral:lncRNA from 1 species